AUCCUUUUGUAGUUCAUAAGCAUGAUGAUCCUGUUUUCACACUGAUGUAUGAAAUGUGCUCCCUCAAACUUUGUUACGAUGUCAGCACACUACCUGACUGACA